CCUGGCGGCCGUAGCGCGGUGGUCCCACCUGACCCCAUACCGAACUCAGAAGUGAAACGCCGUAGCGCCGAUGGUAGUGUGGGGUCUCCCCAUGCGAGAGUAGGGAACUGCCAGGC
rnacentral:rRNA from 3 species